CCUACGGGAGGCAGCAGUGGGGAAUUUUGGACAAUGGGGGCAACCCUGAUCCAGCCAUGCCGCGUGAGUGAAGAAGGCCUUCGGGUUGUAAAGCUCUUUCAGCCGGGAAGAAAACGCAUGGGUUAAUACCCUGUGUGGAUGACGGUACCGGAAUAAGAAGCACCGGCUAACUACGUGCCAGCAGCCGCGGUAAUACGUAGGGUGCGAGCGUUAAUCGGAAUUACUGGGCGUAAAGCGUGCGCAGGCGGUUUGUUAAGAUAGGCGUGAAAUCCCCGGGCUCAACCUGGGAACUGCGUUUAUGACUGGCAAGCUAGAGUAUGGCAGAGGGGGGUGGAAUUCCACGUGUAGCAGUGAAAUGCGUAGAGAUGUGGAGGAACACCGAUGGCGAAGGCAGCCCCCUGGGCCAAUACUGACGCUCAUGCACGAAAGCGUGGGUAGCAAACAGGAUUAGAUACCCUGGUAGUCCACGCCCUAAACGAUGUCAACUAGGUGUUGGGUGGGUAAAACCAUUUAGUACCGGAGCUAACGCGUGAAGUUGACCGCCUGGGGAGUACGGCCGCAAGGUUAAAACUCAAAGGAAUUGACGG
rnacentral:rRNA from 1 species